rnacentral:lncRNA from 1 species
GGGCGGGGCGGGCUCAGGACCCCCGACAGCCGGUCCCUGGAGAUCUGAGGGGCCGGGGCGGGCUCAGGGAUGCCUCGCGCCCGCGGAGAGACGGGCCCGGGACUUGGGAAGAGCAAGCUCCGGGAUCCAGCUCGGGCGCUGCUGGGUUCAGCGCCCGAGCUGGGCUUUGCAGGCUGAGCCGCGAGCCACUUGUUUGUGGGGAGAAUUUACACCCGCGACGAGUUCGAGCUUGAAGGCUCCCGCUGGGCUUGGGCUGCAUGGAGCGGGGUCCAGCGCUGCCUGGCGGCUUCACGCGAACCCUGGGCGCGUCCCUUGCGGAGGUGCCGGUGCCUCCCUCUGCAGAGACCAGGAGAGAGCCUCUGGGCGUUGGGCGGUGUUGCCCAGCUGGGACGAUGCCGGAGUGUGAAGGAGUUUGAGAAGCUGAACCGCAUUGGAGAGGGUACCUACGGCAUUGUGUAUCGG